CUGAGUGUCUGUAUGCCUGGUGGGCUU
rnacentral:piRNA from 1 species